GUUUCAGCAGCCGCGGUAAUACGAAGGUGGCAAGCGUUGUUCGGAUUUACUGGGCGUACAGGGAGCGUAGGCGGUUCGGUAAGCCCUCUGUGAAAUCUCCAGGCUUAACCUGGAACAGUCGGAGGGGACUGCUGGGCUAGAGGACGGGAGAGGAGCGCGGAAUUCCCGGUGUAGCGGUGAAAUGCGUAGAGAUCGGGAGGAAGGCCGGUGGCGAAGGCGGCGCUCUGGAACGUUUCUGACGCUGAGGCUCGAAAGCGUGGGGAGCAAACAGGAUUAGAAACCCUAGUAGUCC
rnacentral:rRNA from 1 species